rnacentral:tmRNA from 1 species
GGGGAUGCCAGGCUUCGAUGGCAUGUAUAUUUUAUAAUAAGCAGGGCGAGCAAUGCUAUUUGCGCUCGUUAAUCCGAUAAUAGCAAUUACAAGUGCAAAAAACGUACUUGCAAAAGUAAAGGCUGCUUUCAGCAUGCCGACUUUUGCCACUGUUGCCGCUUAAAACCGGCAGCCAUCCGAACCGGCGACACCUGUUAGCCGGAUCUCGGGUGUCAUCUUAGCAGGUUAGGCUUGUUGGUCCGCGUUCGCCGGCAAGUUAAAACUUCUGAACGCUAGCUUAUGCGGAUUUUGUUCUGUUUUAACCGCGUAAGUUAAGACAAAACAGAAAUAAUCCUGUAAACUUAUUAUGGAAUGCCUGUCAGACGCGAGUUCGAUUCUCGCCAUCUCCACUU